GCGUACUGUUAUCCACUCCCUCUCAACUCCCCACUUCGUCUGCCUUCUUUCACAAUCCACUUCAUCUCCCUUCUCCACGAUCAACUUCGUUUCCCCUUCUUCUCCCUUCUUCCGUUCUUCUCCUUGUCACACAUUCUUCUCCUUGUCGCUUAUUCUUCCCCUUUGCCGCUCCAAUCUCCCAAAACAUUUUCUUUUUGGCCAUCAUUCACGGUACCAACAAAACUUGGUUGUUAGGGUUUGUGAAUUUUUUUUUUUGGAGCUUGGUAGGGUUUUUGCGAGGAUAUGAGCAAGGUUAGGGUUCAAAUUGCGCAUGGUAGGGAUGAAGAUUUCUCAUCCCUUCACGGUUAGUGAAGAGCAAGAGUCCAUUAGUCAAGGUUCGUACACCAAUAACUUAGAUGGUUGGAGUAGUUUUUCACCAUUACUGGUUUGUAAAUAGCAUCUUAUAAUAGUAAUUUUUGAUAUGGCUCAAUCUUGUUGGAAGACAUGUAAUUACACCAUAACAUAUUCAUUAUGACUGCUACUUUUCAACUUUAUAUUCAUUUUAUCUUGAUAUUUAUUGACUUUAAUUAUUAAACUUAUUCAUUAUGCAUUGUAGCAAUUAAAUAAAAUUGUGUAUGCACAAAUGUAUUAA